rnacentral:rRNA from 1 species
CAUGGAGGGUGAGAAUCCCGUUCAUGGUUAAUCUUAAGGAAGCUCUACGAUACGUUUUCCAAGAGUCGAGUUGUUUGGGAUUGCAGCUCAAAAUGGGAGGUAAAUUUCUCCUAAGGCUAAAUAUUGGCGAGAGACCGAUAGCGAACAAGUACCGUGAGGGAAAGAUGAAAAGAACUUUGAAAAGAGAGUUAAACAGUACGUGAAAUUGUUGAAAGGGAAACGAUUGAAGUCAGUCAUACCAACGGGAAAUCAACCUUUUGAGCUCGGUCUCGUGGGUUUUGAAGAGUUUCAAAGCUUUCGGAUUCGCGGGAUUGGGAUCUCUCGGUGUACUUUUUCGUACGGUUAGUCAACAUCGGUUUUGAAUGUCAUAAAAUGACUGGAGGAACGUAGCUUCGAUCUCGUAUUGAAGUGUUAUAGCCUUUGGUAGAUGUGAUGUUUGAGACCGAGGAUUGCAACGGAUACCCUUCAGGGCUAUUCGUCUGAUCUCUGAUACGUUGCCUUGAUGUUGAAAGCUUGCUUAUGAUGUUAGGGUAUUACGGUCAAAAGGUUAGAACGAAUUACAUUCGUUAAGGAUGUUGACGUAAUGG